GACGAACGCUGGCGGCGUGCUUAACACAUGCAAGUCGAACGGAAAGGCCCCUUUGGGGGUCCUCGAGUGGCGAACGGGUGAGUAACACGUGAGUAACCUGCCCUUGACUUCGGGUUAACUUCAGGAAACUGGGGCUAAUACCGGAUAGGAAUCCUUGCUGCAUGGUGGGGGUUGGAAAGCUUCGGCGGUUUUGGAUGGACUCGCGGCUUAUCAGCUUGUUGGUGGGGUAGUGGCUUACCAAGGCUUUGACGGGUAGCCGGCCUGAGAGGGCGACCGGCCACAUUGGGACUGAGAUACGGCCCAGACUCCUACGGGAGGCAGCAGUGGGGAAUAUUGCACAAUGGGCGGAAGCCUGAUGCAGCAACGCCGCGUGCGGGAUGACGGCCUUCGGGUUGUAAACCGCUUUCAGCAGGGGCGAAGCUUGUGGUGACGGUACCUGCAGAAGAAGCACCGGCUAACUACGUG
rnacentral:rRNA from 1 species